rnacentral:rRNA from 1 species
CCCUUAGAUGUUCUGGGCUGCACGCGCGCUACACUGAUGCGCUCAACGAGUUUACGACCUUGCCCGGAAGGGUUGGGUAAUCUUUUUAAAACGCAUCGUGAUGGGGAUAGAUUAUUGCAAUUAUUAAUCUUUAACGAGGAAUUCCUAGUAAGCGCGAGUCAUCAUCCCGCGCUGAAUACGUCCCUGCCCUUUGUACACACCGCCCGUCGCUCCUACCGAUUGAGUGGUCCGGUGAGGCUUUGGGAUCUGAGCGGAAAGAGCGUUUCGCUGUUUCUGCUCGGAAAACUCAGUCGAACCUUAUCAUUUAGAGGAAGGAGAAGUCGUAACA